rnacentral:tRNA from 1 species
UUUUGAUACAUAAAAUUUUUGAUUUCGAAUCAAAAAAAGAUAAAUCAAAAG